CAUGCAAGUCGAACGAGGAUGUAUCCUUCGGGAUAUAAGCCGAGUGGCAUAAGGGUGAGCAAUGCAUAGAUUACCUACCUUUAGGAUAAGGACAACUUUGUGAAAACGGAGCUAAUACUUAAUAAUACAAAGGAAAAUAAUUUUCUUUUGUCAAAGGGAGGGUAGCAAUACCUUUCGCCUAGAGAGGGGUUUAUGUCCUAUCAGCUUGUUGGUGGGGUAAUAGCCUACCAAGGCGAAGACGGGUAGCCGGUUUAAGAGGAUGGUCGGCCACACUGGGACUGAGACACUGCCCAGACUUCUACGGAAGGCUGCAGUCGAGAAUCUUUCGCAAUGCCCGAAAGGGUGACGAAGCGACGCCGCGUGGGUGAAGAAGGCCUUCGGGUUGUAAAACCCUGUCAGGAGUUAUGAAAUGUAAGUGCGCUAAUAUCGUGCUUAUUUGACAAAGGCUCCAAAGGAAGCCACGGCUAACUCUGUGCCAGCAGCCGCGGUAAUACAGAGGUGGCGAGCGUUGUUCGGAAUUAUUGGGCGUAAAGAGCACGUAGGUGGGUUUGCAAGUCAGAUGUGAAAGCCUUCUGUUCAACGGGAGAAUUGCAUCUGAAACUGCUAAUCUUGAGUGUAGGAGGGGAGAAUGGAACUUCUGGUGGAGCGGUGAAAUGCGUAGAUAUCAGAAGGAACGCCGGCGGCGAAAGCGAUUCUCUGGCCUAUUACUGACACUCAGUGUGCGAAAGCUAGGGGAGCAAACGGGAUUAGAUACCCCGGUAGUCCUAGCCGUAAACGAUGGGCACUAAGUAGAGGGGAUUACCUAUGUUCUCUCUGCCGUAGCUAACGCAUUAAGUGCCCCGCCUGGGGAGUACGGCCGCAAGGCUAAAACUCAAAAGAAUUGACGGGGGCUCGCACAAGCGGUGGAGCAUGUGGCUUAAUUCGAUGCAACGCGAAAAACCUUACCGGGGCUUGACAUGAUAGAAGUAGGAACCUGAAAGGGGGACGAACGGUAUCCAGUCCGUAGCUAUUACAGGUGUUGCAUGGCUGUCGUCAGCUCGUGUCGUGAGACGUUGGGUUAAGUCCCCUAACGAGCGAAACCCUUGUUUUUAGUUACCAGCGGGUUAUGCCGGGUACUCUAGAAAGACUGCCGUCGUCAAGACGGAGGAAGGUGGGGAUGACGUCAAGUCAUCAUGGCCCUUAUGCCCCGGGCUGCACACGUGCUACAAUGGACGGUACAGACGGAAGCGAAGCCGAGAGGUGAAGCGAAUCCUAAAAAGCCGAUCUCAGUUCGGAUUGGAGGCUGAAAUUCGCCUCCAUGAAGUUGGAAUCGCUAGUAAUCGCGGAUCAGCAAUGUCGCGGUGAAUAUGUUCCCGAGCCUUGUACACACCGCCCGUCAAGCCACCCAAGCAGGAUGCACCCGAAAACAUUAUAUCUAACCAGGGCAACUUGGAGGAAAAUGUUGAAGGAGUGUUUUGUGAGGAGGACUAAGUCGUAACAAGGUAGUCGUAGGAGAACCUGCGGCUGGAUCACCUCCUUUCU
rnacentral:rRNA from 1 species